rnacentral:rRNA from 1 species
CCUACGGGGGGCUGUAGUGGGGAAUAUUGGACAAUGGGCGAAAGCCUGAUCCAGCCAUGCCGCGUGUGUGAAGAAGGCCUUCGGGUUGUAAAGCACUUUCAGUGGGGAAGAAAGCCUUGGGGCUAAUACCCUCGAGGAAGGACAUCACCCACAGAAGAAGCACCGGCUAACUCCGUGCCAGCAGCCGCGGUAAUACGGAGGGUGCGAGCGUUAAUCGGAAUUACUGGGCGUAAAGCGCGCGUAGGCGGUCUGAUAAGCCGGUUGUGAAAGCCCCGGGCUCAACCUGGGAACGGCAUCCGGAACUGUCAGGCUAGAGUGCAGGAGAGGAAGGUAGAAUUCCCGGUGUAGCGGUGAAAUGCGUAGAGAUCGGGAGGAAUACCAGUGGCGAAGGCGGCCUUCUGGACUGACACUGACGCUGAGGUGCGAAAGCGUGGGUAGCAAACAGGAUUAGAUACCCAGUAGUC